UCCUGCAGCUGUGCCAAACCCCAACCCAAAAGUAAAGCCGCUCAUGAAAGACUCUCCGCAGUCGGACAGGAAAGUCCACAUACUCGAGGAUGGUUGCUGCUGCUGCUGAUGCCUCACUUCUGGUCUAAGAUGUUGCAAUACAGCCUCUCUCAUCUCUUCUUCUUCCGACUCGUCCAGAUUAUAAAAUCUUUUAAUCUUCUGCAUUAGCUCUGCCAUUUCUUCCAGUAGCUCUUCUGCAUUUAAACUAUGUAAUCUCCUUCGUUGUACCCUUAUGUAAAAUUCUUCGAGUUCCUCAAGAAAUUGUGGAUCCUCCAUUGUACACGUUUUUCAAGUUGUAAGUCUUUAGUGCUUGACUGAAAGAAAGUUCAAGUACUUAAGACUGUUUUAUGAUGUCAUAACAAGAGAAUGGUAUUAUGACAUCACAGAGAGAGUGAUGUCACAACUGACAUAUACUUGCAUUUGCAUAUAUUUAUGCAUUUUAUGAAAUGUUAAUAUGGUUUUGUGUUUUGCAUACUGUUGAAAUAUGUUUAAUGCUAGUUCUGCUGUUAUAUUGUUUUUGUCGUGUUUUAGCUCUUGAGAAAGUGUGGUGGGAAUUUCACACACAGUAACAUUAUAGCUCCUCCUUGCAGGAACUUGUUUUUUCCCAGACACUGACCUUACCUCGAUGCCCAUUGUGUUUUACCAAAUCUCUUUCUUGUUGUUACAGAUGGUUAAUCAAACUGAGCUUCACAUACACAGUUUUAUACAAAUAUGGUUCAUUUGUUCUUGCAUUGUUCCAAAAUGCAAGUUUAUAUAAACUAAAAUAUAAAAAUGGCAUCCAGUAAAUAAAAGCUCACUUCCACUGGAUGCUGGAUUAUUGCUCGUAUCUUAUUCUGAAGAUUGGAAUUUUGAUUGUGGAGUCCCUUUUUUCAUCACAUUCUUUUAUUUUCUUUUUUAUUUCUUUAUUUUAUAACUCAGUUUCUCUGACAUGAAACUUGGUUCCGCUUUUAUGCUCACUUCUGAGCCCUGCCAAGAGCUGGAAUUGUUCAMUCAGAUGGGAACUACAAACUUGUCUGCCACUUUUACCCAGAAUGCACUGCAGUUAGUAGAUUGCUUCUCUGGAAGAUGAGUGCUGUCUUUAAAACUCCCCUUUUUCACA